GGGACUAAAUUGGAGUGGCGCGCAAAGUUUAGGGCAAAAAUUAAAGAAAUGGAAUAGUAUUAAAUUAGAGGUAGUACAAAUGGGAGGGACUGUCUGUGCAAAUUCCCCUUUUAGGUGGAAAUGUGCAAUUCCAGCCUGUUGAGCAGGACAACACGCGGGCUCCCACUUCCUUAAUUGCAUCACUUUAAAUUUAAUAUAGCUUUUAUUAUACAUUCAUAUUUUUUAAAGCUUUCAAAACCACUUUUCUAAGCAAAAAACCCCCCCGAAAUUCCUUUCUUUUACUCCCCAAAAAUCCCUCUUUUCAGCUAGGAUUUCACAAACCCAUCAUCACCGUCGUUCACCAUGCCGAACGGAGAGGAGGACUCCGACGACGAGCCACAAGGUGGAUCCGGCAUAGAGUGGUGGAGGCAAGUGGGUGUGCUGGUGGCAGACAACUGGUAGUGGCGGGCCAAGGUGGGGCGGCGGCUAGGGUUCUUCUCCUCCCUUUUUGCUGAAAAUUGUUUAGGUUUGGGCUGGGCUUAGGGUUUUAGUUUGUUGGGCUAAAUUGAGUUUGGUUAGGGUUGGUUUAAGUUGGGCCAAAAUUGAGCCUCAACAAUACAUAGUUGGGGACGUGAUGGAUUUGUUAUAUAGUGGUAAGUGGCAUCCAAAAAGGGCCAGAAGUAGCAGAAGUGGAGAGUUUCCAAAUGAAGCCCAAGACACAUAGAGAUGUACAAUUUCGACUGCUACUUAUUUCAAUCACAUGUUAUAUCCCUAAUUUGUCAAUAAAUUCAUUCACGUGAAUGAAUAAAAGAAUGAUUACAACA